CUACAAAUAUACCAAGAGUAAGUAUUUGUGCCUCAAUAUUGUUUAAUAUUAUUUCUUUCUGGUGUAACAAUGCUGUCUCCGUAGAGAGUCCUGCUAGGAAUACAAACUGUGAUGGUGUGAUGACAGAGUGAAUAUCGAAGAACAUAGUUAGCCUCUUGAAAAUUAUUUUUUCCAGGGCCUUGGAAAAUACUGGCAAUACAGAGAUAGGCCUAUAAUUCCCGCAGUUGUUUUUAUCACCGGUCUUAAACAAAACAGUAACCUUCGCGGCCUUUAACCGCGUCGGAAAAAUUCCAGUCGAUAAGAUAAGGUCAUAGAUAUGCGCCAAGUACCGCGCAAUCAGGUCGACAACAAAACAGACGGGUUGCAUUUUUAGACCAUAAAUGUCUUCACUCUUACUCUUCUUUAAUGUUGUGAAUAUUUGGAGUAUUUCAGAUUCGUCCGUUGGACCCAGAUAUAUGGAUUGUCUUAUCGAAACAGGUAAGUAAGGUUCAGUGUUAACUUGAUCAUCAACAUGGACCAAGCUGGUAAAAUAUUCGUUGAACUUUUCACCCAUUGCCUUUCCCCUGUAGGUAUACCCAUCUACCUUUAUCUCUUGGAUGGUUGUAUGCCGUGUAAAAGGACGUACGACUGAAUUUAAUUUCUGCCACAUUACCUUUGGAAAUUACAACAACAUCAAAUAAUUGUGUGUAAUAGUCGUGCUUUGCUUUUUUAAGUUUUUUAUUGAGAACAUUUCUAUACAAUUUAAAUUCUGCCAACGUGGCAAGGUCUCGGCCAUGCAGAAAUAUUCGAUAUAAUUUGUUUUUUUUCCUUUAUCAUAUUAAGUAACGUCGUUGUCAUCCAUGGUUUCCGCGCCUGUUUAGGUUUCCCUCGAACCUUAUAAGGGAAAUCUUUCUUAUAGACAUGAGCAAAGAUUUCCAUGAACCGUUCAUAGGCUUCAUUGGGAAAAGAACAACGUAUUACUUCUUCCCAGUUCGUAUGAGUAAUUUCGUUCCGAAACAGGUCAAGAGUAUGUGGUGGUGUGAGGUCCUGAAGGAUUACGUUUGGCAACCGUUUUCUCGAUGAUUCAAGAUGCCUCUUGGCAGCAAGAAAAAUGGGUAGGUGAUCGCUAAUUGCUAUAGCGAGUGAGCCGGCGAUCAGCUCGUCAGCAGGUAUGUUUGUAACAAAUAAGUCGAUAAGUGUCGCACUGGUAGCUGUGAUACGUGUCGGAGAAGAUACAACAUUGGAAAACAAGUAUGAAUCAAUAAGAAGUGAAAACUCACGACUCUUUAUAUCGUUUGACAGCAUAUUGAUAUUUAAGUCUCCCCCACGGACCAUAGUAUAAUGACACUCAUUUGCAAAAGAUAGCAGCUUAUCUAAAAAGCACAAAAAAUCGGUUACGUUACCAUCUGGGGGCCGAUAAAUAACCACAAACAGAAAGUGCCCACACUUUACACAGAUAGAUUCCACGCUCUCUGUACAUCCCGAAAACUCGUCUACAUAUUCGUGCGCAGUCUCAGUUAACAAAAACAUGCACACACCUCCUCCUCUUUUGAAUUUCCGAUUUAAGAACACUGACUUGUAUCCAUCAAUACGCAUAACAUCGUCCUCAUUGUAGUACCAUGUUUCCGUUAGCAUUAUAACAGAAAAUUUAAAGUCGAAAAACUGUAAGAGCGCACAAAAUUGAUCAUCUUUCCCUAAUGCUGACUGCAUAUUCAAAUGCAAAGCAGUCAUCGGCGAAACAAAAUUUUCCUUUAACUUUUAUGUUCAAGCUGGAUGGUGCGAUACAGUAUUCCGCCAUUGAUAAAAGAAGUUGGCAAACAGAUGGAUCAGCGAUCUCAGAAGAUAAUCACUCCUAAUCAACUCCUAUAUACCACAAUAAUCAACUCCUAUUCAUAAUCGAAAAAAUUCCUAUAAUGGCCCUAGAACGGUGGCGAAACUCCGUUGUCCAGGCGAAAUUGACAUCGGUCACGUCGCACGUCCUUUCGAAAACAUCGAUCGCGUGACCAGAAGCGUGUAUCUCAGAAGUGUUGGAAUGUAAGCUGACAAUUGAACACCGGUUACUCGGUGUAUUCGCGUAUUCGUUCUUUCUUUCCCUUCCAAGAUUGUGUUGUUUCGUGGGUCGUUAUUAUAAAAUAUAGGCACGUUUCCUAUCAGUUUAGUUGCAAUCUAGGAGUCGCAGCGCUAUGGCCUGAUUGAAUCCGGAAGAGUCCCCGAAGCUUUUUAAAUUCUUUUUUUUUCUUUGUACAACGAAUUUAACACACGGUAAAACGCUGAGGAGGGGGCGUGUUGUACGAAGGUACAGGUCCGGUGAAAUCCCUACAGUUUUGCAACCUGAGGAAGCUGCUCUCUUCUCGGGCAGUCAGGGCCAUAGAUACACGAAUGAAAGUGACGCCGCAUCCAGUGUGAGCAGACUUGAUCCCCCAUAUUUGCCCGCUGUUGCGGGCCUUGCGUGUGCAAAAAGGUUAGAAAAACUAUCACACCUCCCAUUUACGGUAUUGUUCUUGAUGAUAAAACUGAUUUAAUCACUUUGGUUUGCACCUUCAGAGCUACAGAUGAAAAAUAUAAACAAUUUAUAGUGCCCAUAUUGCCAUUUUUAGUGCCUAAAUCGAGAUUUGUAGUGCCUUUUAUAGGCGCCUUGAACAAGGUUUUUUCCGUACCUAAAAAUCCGGGCUCUAGUCAUGACUUUGUGAGAGGAUUAGCACUUUGUGGAGCACCAGGUAUGCUGUUCGGUUCCGGUAUUGGUAUCCAGGAUAUCCCAAAGCUUGAAGUCUCAGAAACCCAGUUGUUUUUGCAGGUUCCAAAAUUUAUUUUGAAAAAAAAAUUCCAAUACUUUAUGUGAAUGUUCCAUGUCUACUUUUAGCGGAGUCAGGAUGUGUAAUUAUCACAGGUUGUUCGAUUUCAAGCGGUCCUCUGAAUAAUAUAUCAAAUACAAAAGUGAAGCAAAGGACAAGUUUAAAAAUGAAGGCAUAGACAGUUACUUCCUGUCACUUCCCAAAUUCCGUCCUUCUGUGAUUGAGUUCUACAAGCUAGAUCUUGUUUUCUGCCUCGGUGUCACUACAUAUCCAUGGCCCGCUUAGCAGUUGCAACUGAAGCUCCUAUACAGGGUGUUCAAAAUUAACCUUUCACGAGCGCUACGCAAACACAGGGAUGACAGGAAACCGGAUGAUAACUUUACGCUACUUGUGUAAGAAACAGGUGCUGCUAAUUAUGUAGCACCUGUUUCUUACUCAAGGAACAGAAAAAUAGCAGCCAGUUUUCUUUUGUUCGCCUAUUUAUAAAGUGCUAGUGAAGGCUUAAUUUUGAACACCCUGCGUAGAAGAACAUGAGUAAGGCUUUUCCAAUUUUUCUUUGAGAAGUGCUGCAAAAAGUUUUCAGGAAGGUAUUAGUCAUGACAUGCAGAGAUAGAGCCGCCAAGAACAUACGCAGUGCACACUUCCUCGCUCUUAUAUCAACUUCAUCUAAGGAUUUGCGGAGAAAAAUCGCGAGACUGAAAAAAAAAGCUAUCCGGGAAUCCCGAUAUUAAAAGAACGAAAAACCGGGAGACACGGGACACGUAGACAAACACGAAGAAGUUCUCAACACUACGUAUCCCGUGUCUCUCGGUUUUUCGUUCUUUUAAUCAUCAUGCACCAGUUGGUCUGCGCCCUGUCCCUUUCGUCGAUUCCCGAUAUUAUUUAGCUAUCUAUUUGCAAGUUCGAGCGACACCUCUUCCGUGUUGCUGAUACACUUUCAUAUAUUUGAGAAGAAUAUUUUCGUGAAAUGUUCUUGGUUGUGAGGCUCUUUCUUACAGAAUGACAGAUUGAUUAUACCAAGUGGCAUCAUAUUGUACCUAGAACUCACUCAGACCUAGACCUAGAAGUAUUGUACACUCUCGCGAAAGAAACGAAUACAAUUACGUUUACAUCCAAUCGUACCCUUACUAAGGGUAAAUUUCAACAAAAGGGUUGACGCCGUAUCCGUCAAGCUGCGUUUUGUUCCUAGUACCCGUAAACGCGCCUGCUGUAAGCAUAAAGGGCGGAUUUUUAUGCGUAAAUGACACGGGGAACAUGAUUCACUCUUAUAUUGGGGCGCAUACGAUUUCACCUUGACGGAUAAACUGAGGCUUUGCGUCGGAAUGUCAGUCCUUUGCGCCUAUAUUGGCGCAUAUCGUUCUUCAUUUUGUUGUACGGGCCCUGCCCUCUGAGAACGCGUGCAUAGUUCCGUGUUCAAUGUGCAAAGCGUCUUUUGUCUUUCACUUGGAUGACUGCCACUCUGACUUCCUGCGUCUCGUUUUUGGUCCUUUGGGGGGGGGGGGGGGCACACACUCGAGAUUUGCGCCUCCCCCCGCCCAUAGCACACUACUUCUUUGGCCGUGCGUUCCGUGGGUGAUCCCUAAGCACAUGACGCCCGGAACGAAACACCGCACAACGUAAUGAACGAAAAGCGUACCAUACCGCAUUCAUAGACCCGUUUCUCUGGGCCAGGUGGCGCGAGUGAGCAGCAACGUCAGCGCCCCAAAUUGUGCAACACGCGGUCGUUUAGCAGACGACGCGGCACUUUCAAAUACACAGUCUCGAGUUGUUCGCAUUUUUCAAGAAGCACCGCUUUUUCUGUGAAUUUCCUACAGGUUUUGUAGCUUCCUUGGCACCAUACCGUUUGAAAUACCAUGCAAAACACGCUGAGGAAACGACCUACUGUUGGGAUCUGUGGGCGUUUGCGCCCGAAAUGGCGCUGUGCAAACUUGACUGCAACAGCCCUAUGGAACCUUUGAUAUAUUUUUUUCUAUUGAAAGGAUAGAAUUUUGCACAAUGCGUUAAUAUAUGCCUUGCAAAGACCACACUUGUGACCGGCUAGCAAUGCCAGCAGAGCUUUACAGACGACAGAUGACUGUCAUCGGUUUCUGGGACGCCAAACACCAUGAACUUCCAGCCAUCCGGCCGCCACUUUUGCGCCCCCUCGGCGGACGUUUGGGGGGAGGGGGCAAUUGCCCCCCCCCCCCCCCCCUGCCCCCCGUAGAUGCCGGCCCUGCUCAUGGCCUCACAUCAUGCACCGUCCAGCAAUGUAAGUUGUUACGUUUUGGGCUCGGUGUCUUGAGUUUCAUUAAAUUUCGCGGAGUUUGUGUCAAACGUAUGGCAGGAAGAAAUGGCAUCGAACGAGACAACUUCGCUCGAUCUAGUGGGCCAAGCACGCGUACGCUGCUUACAAAGCAACAACAACAACAACUUUAUUUCAGGAUGAUUCGCUGCUUACACAGUUGCGAUUGUCCCGGCUAUCUCCACACUGCAAAUACAUAUAUGCGUACGCCUAUUGUCCACCGUGCUGGUGCCUUAUGUGUGGCCAUCUACACGCAGAUCAUUUUGUUGUAGGUAAGACUCUUUAUUCUUUCGUUUUUUUUUUUUUUUGAUGUGCGUUUCCCGCCGUUGAAGCAUCUGUAUUAACGAUUCCUCAAUCUUUUAUCUCUUAGCAGUUCAAAUGAUAAGUGCAGGCUAUAGCGCAGCAUGAUGUGUUGACGGGAAGCAAAUGUGACUCUUCCGCCUUGUAAAGAGAUUUUUUAUAUCGAAGUGACGGUAGCGGUGGUGCAAAACAGGUGUGGGAUACCGCUUCUCGGAGUGCUAACAAUUAUUUAUGCGUUUAAAAAUAUUCAGUUCAAUGAUAUGUUAAAGGACGAAAGCGUUUCCGGUACGCUAAGUGCAUGGUUUUGCAGUUCGUGUUGCGGUUAUGACUAUUUCAUGUAGGAGGUCUCUGAGGAGAUGGACUCAGUUCUGGCGACCCAGGCGAAAAUCUGGACUGGUUCCAGUUGAAUGUCGAUGGUCCCAGCUGGAUUCCCAAGAGGAGUGGCUGGGUCCACUUUGGUGAAAUCAGUGGUACCACUCUGACCUCAGAUGGUUCCAUAAAUUCCAGCUGGAGACUGACAAGUACCAUUUCGUUCCCAGAAUGGUCAAAUAACUCACUUGAGAUGCCAAGCUGAGCAGCUUCCCCCUUUGAGACCUCAUGCGCGAAGAGUCUACUUUUCCCAUACCCUCUGGUUUUGAUCUAUUAUUUUGAUCUGUUUUAGCACACACAUUAUCGCUUUUUAUUGCUUUUUAUCCACUGCGUCUGCGAUAAAAUAAAAUACAUGCUGUAACUUCAGUUCUUGCUCAUAGCCCGGUAGCCAUCUUUAGAACGGGCUACCGAAAGGAUACGGCUACCGGUAGAACAGAGCAGAACAAGGUCAUACAACUAAUAAUAACAAAAAAUCUUACAAUAUGAGAAGCCACAUUUAACGUGGCUUUCUUGUGACCUAUUGAUUUUUUACUAUAGUAGUUCCAGUCUACUGUAUAUACAACUACUUUUUACUAUAGUAGUGCUUGUACGCUGUUGUACCAUCUGACGUCAUUUGUUUGUAAACAGGGAUAGCUCUAUAGCAAUAAGGGCGCCACGGAGUCGCCGUGACGUCAGAGCCGUCGUCGCUCCGCCCACUUGAACUGAAUGAAAGGCGAGCCGUGGCGGCACGGGGGAAUUUCAAGACUGUGCCUCUGCUCCAAAAUCGCGGAAUGGGAGAUUUCAAGGCGAUACCUCUGAUCCAAAAUGGUGCCACUGGCCUUGGCGCCGCCCAUCGUGUGACGUCAAAUGGCGGGCUUUGGGACAGGUUCCUCCCAAUAGCCAAAGGCUUCUAAUAAAUGAAAUUCAAACGGCGAGAGAGUAGCGUGGCAGGUUGCAGUUGGAACUAGGACGCGUCGCAGCAAGUUGGUUUUCUCCUCCGUUGCCGUAGCAGGUGCCGGCUGUGCUGUUUGGGGUUUUUCCUGGGUUUUUCUCAGACAUUUUCAGACCGACACAGUUCCCUUAGAAGUCGGCCAAGGACGCACAUUUCCCCAGGGCGUCAGUCGUGACGUUUCCCACCUGUGUGAGCCGACAAGCCCUUUCACCACCAGCACCGUGGCAGGGAUCGUACAUCUCCUCAACCGUACGAUGAAACGCCAAACGGACUGCACAUAAUGCUUGUUCUGAUGUUAGCAGGUGUGAGUGCCUACCGGUUCUUUGAUUACUAUUAAUUAAAUGUUUCAUUUCAGAAACUAGAACUUGAGAAACAGGAUAAGAGUCUAAUUCGGAACGUUUGGUGAAGAGGAAAGGGGUACAUGUCACGACCUGCAUGGAGGACGGGGGUGUCAUCUUCUCUGAAAAAAUACAAGAUGUGAAGUGGUCAACAGAACGCCAUGCACCCUGUGGUCCGUGAGUGCAUCGCACGGUGAGCAGAAUAAGCAGAAUAAGCACCUAUGGCUCCCGUGCCUCCUCCAAAACAGAGAAAGUUUCCGUAGUCUUUGGAACUCCCAAUCAAAGGCGGAGGCUUCUGGCCUGAAUAUUGAGCAGUUCCCUCUCGUGAGUGUUGGAGAUCCCAUACAGGACAGGCAGGCUAUAACGCAUAAUGCCAAGCAACAGGGAACAAUGCACACGACGGAGGUCAGCACAGGACGGGCCCCGUGAUCCACAGAGGUGCCGGAGCACAUUACAGUAGAUGCAGCCGCUAGUAGAGAGAGAGAGUUGAUCUGCCGCGAUCAUGUCAGUCCCUUAUCAAUGAUUAUGCCUAGGUACCGAUAGUGAUCUUCAAUUCAGAGUGUCACACUGGACACAAUACCGGGCAGUGCGAAAAGAAAUCAAUGCCCUGAUGGAUGGUAUCGAUGAAUAAGACACCACAACAUUUCUGCCUCAUAGCCUUUCUUCCAAUGACGGUGAAGAUUUUUUCUAGCAGCUCUUGUCAUGCCAUCCUGACAAUAAUAAGUGUAUUUGCUCUGUAUAUGUAUUCGUCGUUACUCGCAUCCUCAUUUUUUUUAUCACAUCACAAUCACGAUCUGUAUUUAAUAAUGUGUGUCAGCUAUCUUCCUCUUUCAGAAUCCAGCCUACACUUCGGUCGCAACCCUAUGAAGCUAUCUCGCCGUGAUGUUUGCUUGAACAAAGGAAAAGUACAAAAGCUAGCUGGUGUAACUUUUAAAUCACUGUCUACUUCGUUUCCGCCACUUCAAUGUUUGCUUCUAGAAGUACCAUCUGGAAUGCUGUGUUGUUUUUGUUUUAAAAAUACUCCGGGUAUCCAUAUCAAUAUAACAAGGUUUCAUAGCGAAAAAGCCAAUGUAUAAAAAUGGUAUUUUGUUGAUAGAUUAUAAUUUUCUCACAGUUCGUUGUCAUUUUUUCUUGUGCAAACUGUGUUAUCCUAAAUUGAUACUUUCCGGAAGGUUUCUUCGGACUGAAUGCAUUCGGUAGAAGGUCCACCCACGGCCGUGAGAGAUGUUCUUGAAUACGGUUGCAUACCAGCUUGACUGGUAAUGAGGCGUGUCACUGUGAUUGAAACACAGUUUUAUCGUGCAAAUUGGCCGCUGGACGUUCGAACGCUGGAAAAGGCAUGCUUUCAACGAAAUUGUGCACAGAGGCGUCAUGGUAUCGUAUUAAUAUGUCAGAACUCGCAGUGUUUCUGUUGAAACAGUAACUUUUCCGAUUUCUUUUUGCUGUGUGUGGUGGUCGGUACUGGACACUUGGAUACUAAUGGCCAAGCCGGUUUGGAUUCGAAUACGGACGCAUGUACUAUUUCACUCUUUGUACCUGUUUCAUGUCUCCAUGGCUAAUAAAUGUGUGUAACAAUUCA